rnacentral:rRNA from 1 species
GAUGAACGCUAGCUACAGGCUUAACACAUGCAAGUCGAGGGGCAGCAUGAACUUAGCUUGCUAAGCUUGAUGGCGACCGGCGCACGGGUGAGUAACGCGUAUGCAACUUACCUAUCAGAGGAGAAUAGCUCAUCGAAAGAUGAAUUAAUGCUCCAUAAAACAGGGGUCCCGCAUGGGAAUAUUUGUUAAAGAUUUAUCGCUGAUAGAUAGGCAUGCGUUCCAUUAGGCAGUUGGCGGGGUAACGGCCCACCAAACCGACGAUGGAUAGGGGUUCUGAGAGGUUGAACGGCCACAUUGGGACUGAGAUACGGCCCAG